AUGAAGACAGCUCUUCAUGCUUUAUUUAUUUUCUUCUGGCUACAGAUGGACUGGGAGAGCCAAGGUGAGCAGGUGGAACAGCUCCCUUCCUCCCUGAUUGUCCAGGAGGGAGCCAGUGUUCUCAUCAACUGCUCCUACACAGACAGUGCCUCUGUCUACUUCCCUUGGUAUAAGCAAGAGCCUGGGAAGCGUCUUCAGUUCAUCAUAGACAUUCGUUCAAAUAUGGAAAGAAAGCAGACUCAAAGACUCACCCUUUUAUUUGAUAAGAAAACCAAACACCUUUCCCUGCACAUUACAGCCACUCAGCCUGGAGACUCAGCCAUCUACUUCUGCUCAGCAAAAACAAGCUCUUCAAGAAAAUUAAUUCUAUUUCUACACAGUUGCUUUCUGUUGCUGCUUUGUCUUUCUGGUGUUUGUGAAAAAAAGACCAAAGGAGAAAACCCAUCAGUUGCUCGACUACAACACUUUCAUGCCAGGUAUAAUCCUAAGAAUGAUGGCAGUGAAUAUGUUAACGGCCACUGUUUAUGCUCUUCAGAUUAA